UACGGAGGGGGCUAGCGUUGUUCGGAAUUACUGGGCGUAAAGCGCGCGUAGGCGGCUUUGUAAGUUAGAGGUGAAAGCCCGGAGCUCAACUCCGGAAUUGCCUUUAAGACUGCAUCGCUUGAAUCAUGGAGAGGUGAGUGGAAUUCCCAGUGUAGAGGUGAAAUUCGUAGAUAUUGGGAAGAACACCGGUGGCGAAGGCGGCUAUCUGGCCCGUAAUUGACGCUGAGGCGCGAAAGCGUGGGGAGCAAACAGG
rnacentral:rRNA from 1 species